CUCUGCCUGAUUUCAGAUCCACUUUCAAUCAAUAAGAACACUUUUAAAAUCAGGCAAAAUCUGACCCUGAAAGGCAGUUUUGGCCCGUCGGCGAAGUAGAUCAUUUCCAUCCAGAGUGCAGGCUGUUUUGCAGGAAAAUAAGCAGGACAAUUGCUCUGAGUCAUGACUGAUGCAAUCUGGAUACUGCAAGGCUCUCUUCUGCUCCUCUGAAGCUCCUAAACUUUGCGCUUAGACCACUCUGGUUCUCUGCAAACACCAUUGUCCCCUAUGGAGGCAGCAAUUGCAUGAAAGGAGGAAGGUGAAAUCACCAUCUACACCAGCAGGCCCUUUUGCUGAAGACCAUCUGGGCUGCUCAGCAUCCCUCAUCCUGCCUCCAUGCUUCCACCAAGUGGCCUUGAGUUCAGCAACCAGUGUUACAGGGGCCAGAGAUGUCGGCUGACGAGCUACAUGUGACACUAAGAUGAAGCCUACACAUGUGUGUUCUUAAAAUUAAUAGCUAGAAAUAAUCACAAUUAUUGUUUAAAUAAAGUUCUGUGAUAAACAAUUGUCCUUUCUGUACAUGGACAAGUCUUUAUCAUUUUGGUCCUGCAGUUUUUAAUAAAAGCAGCAAAGUGAAUAGUUUUGGUUUCCAAGAGCUGACAUUUUUCAUUAAAAAAUAUAUAAAGGCAUGGAGGACUUGUGGGUGGCUGGGUGAG